CGCGAGAGCCUCCUCUUCCGGGCGGUUUGCGGGAGUUUUUCUGCGUUCUCUGGAAGUUUGAGGCGGUAGCCGGGUGGCCGGGCCGGAGUCUGGGCUGGAGCCCCGGGCCCGAGAAAAGCAACCUGGGCUACCCCGAGGUGAGGACGUUUUAAAAAGGCUAACUUAACACGAGGAAGGGGCUUCCCUGGUGGCGCAGUGGUUAAGAAUCCACCUGCCAAUGCAGGGGACAUGGGUUUGAGCCCUGGUCAGGGAAGAUCCCACAUGCCGCGGAGCAGCUAAGCCCGUGCGCCACAACUACUGAGCCUGCGCUCUAGAGCCCACGAGCCACAACUACUGAAGCCCGCGUGCCUAGAGCCCGUGCUCCACACAAGAGAAGCCACGACAAUGAGAAGCCCGCACACCACAACUAGACAAAGCCCACGCGCAGCAAUGAAGACCCAAUGCAGCCAAAAAUAAAUAAAUAAAACAAAUAAAUUAAAAAACAAAAAAACACGAGGAAGCUAAAACACUGCUGAAGCAAUGGGAAGGAGUCACAGACUUGGAUGCCAGUUCUGUGUGUAGAGAACCCAAAGGAUGACAUUUGUGAAAGCUCUUUGGAAACGAAGUGCUUUACAAAUAAAUGUGAUUUUCAGGCCACACGUGGCUCUCGUAUUGACUGCUUGGUGCGGCCGACAAUUCUGAGACAUCUGCGAACGGCGGUGGUGGGGUGGCCUGAAGCUGGAGGAGAACCACCCCAAGGGGUGAAGACCUGGGGGCCAGAUGCAGGACGCGCGAUUCCAGGAGGAGGGCCAGAGCGGGGGGAAAGGUGAUUGGGAAGAGUCGGGGCUCGAGCUGGAGAAACGGAUGUGGUCAAGGUGUGGUGAGAGAUGGUGAAUUGCCUUAGAAUGGACCAAGAAGUCAACAGAAGAAUGUUUUGUUGGAAAAGUGCCUACCGUCCUGUCACUUGAAACUCAUGUGUAAAGCACUACCUGCCCUAGACAGGAGCCAAAAAUACGAUUCACAAAUAAUUGUUAAUGCGAAUGUUCCGUGCUAAUACUGCCCUAGGUGCUAGUUAUAAGGGAAACCCACUGGAUCCUUGCCCUCGCGAGAUUGCAGAUUAGUGAACAUAAUAUCCCAUAAAUUGUAUGGCUAAAUAUAUAAUGAUGAAUUGUAAUAACACGUAACAGUAAAAUGAGUAAAGGUGGCCAGGAGGAUUCAUGCUUUAAGAAGUCAUGGAAUUCUUUGGAAGAGAUGGAAUUAACCAGCAAUGUGGAAGAGUAGUCACCAGGGGGAAGGGCAUUUCCGACGCAGGGAACUACUUGUGCCACGUUAUCUGGCAAAGGGGAGAUAACUUAGUCUACUUGAGCUUCAGUUUCCUCACUUGUCAAAUUUAACAGCAAUUAUCUACAUGGGCCAGGCGCUGUGGAAAAUGCUGAAAACAAUACACUAGGUGAUCUCUAAGAUUUCCAACAACUUUAAAUAAGCUAAGAUUGUGUUCAUCUCAGAUUUUUAAAGCUGUAUAUGCUUCUCUAAUAAUGUUUCAAAAAAAAGGGCAACUAACUAUCUCACUGGAAAAUUAAGAGUCAGCUUGGGACUUGUUCAAGAGAGAAAGUAUAGCUGCAUCUGCGGUCUUAUCUGGGUAGCCAUUCUGAACCCUCUUGAUGAACCAUUUCCAUGUCAGUGCUCUACAUGCCUUUUCAAUCUGUGUCAGCCACUCCACCAAAGCAGCACUCCAAAAGUGCCUUCAGUAAAGUACUUUCUGGUUUCCAGUACUUUGAUGAGAGGAGUGGUGAGAGAAGACAUCCUUGCCUUGUUCCCCAACCCUGGGGGAAAGCAUUCUGUCUUUCAUCAAUCUUCCCAGACUGAAAACUACUUACCAACCUGAAGACCAGUUGAUUGACUUAUCUACUAACAGAUUUAGGACACAGGCUUCCUAGAUUCUUAUUCAUAACCCUCAUGGCAUGUGCUGAACUUUUAAAACUUGGAACCUGAGAGAAUGUUGCAUGUGUACAUUUAAUAGGUGUUUUUAAUGUAAAAAACACAAACACAUGGAGGCUAAACAAUACGUUACUAAAUAACCAAGAGAUCACUGAAGAAAUCAAAAAGGAAAUCAAAAAAUACCUAGAGACAAAUGACAAUGAAAACACGAUGAUCCAAAACCUAUGGGAUGCAGCCAAAGCAGUUCUAAGAGGGAAGUUUAUAGGUAUACAAGCCUACCUCAAGAAACAAGAAAGAUCUCAAAUAAACAAUCUAACUUUACAUCUAAAGGAACGCGAGAAAGAAGAAAAAACAAAACCCAAAGUUAGUAAAAGGAAAGAAAUCAUAAAGAUCAGAGCAGAAAUAAGUGAAAUAGAAACAAAGGAAACAAUAGCAAAGACCAAUAAAACUAAAAGCUUGUUCUUUGGGGAGAUAAACAAAAUUGAUAGAACUUUAGUCAGACUCAUCAAAAAAAGAGGGAGAGGACUCAAAUCAAUAAAAUUAGAAACAAAAAAGGAGAAGUUACAAUGGACACCGCAGAAAUACAAAGCAUCCUAAGAGACUACUACAGGCAACUCUGUGCCAGUAAAAUGGACAACCUGGAAAAAAUGGACAAAUCCUUAGAAAGGUAUAACCUUCCAAAACUGAACCAGGAAGAAAUAGAAAAUAUGAACAGACCAAUCACAAGUAAUGAAAUUGAAACUGUGAUUAAAAAUCUUCCAACAGGGCUUCCCUGGUGGCACAGUGGUUGAGAGUCCACCUGCCGAUGCAGGGGACACAGGUUCGUGCCCCAGUCCAGGAAGAUCCCACAUGCCACGGAGUGGCUAGGCCCGUGAGCCAUGGCUGCUGAGCCUGCACGUCUGGAGCCUAUGCUCCACAACGGGAGAAGGCCAUGGCAAUGAGAGGCCCACGUACCACCAAAAAAAAAAAAAAAAAAAAAAAAAAACUAAUAAAAGAA